rnacentral:tRNA from 1 species
UUGAUUGAAGCCAAAAAGAGGCUUAUCACUGUUAAUGAUAGAACUGAGCUUUUCCUCCUUUCAAA